CCACUGUUUACUUAGUAUUAGUAAAUUUGGCUGAAAGACCAAUUUAGGUCUUUCAGCCUUUUGGUAGAUAACUCCCUAAUACCGCUGCAAGAGAAGUCCCGAAGUGUCGAAGUCCUGAAUUUCGGAAUGCUGAACCGAACUGAAAAUGUUCCUCAUGCACAUGCCUAGUUCUCACAAGCAGGCAAGAAAAAAGUUUACUUCAACCACUUAUUACAGAAUCUGGGAUGUAUUUUCUUCAUGGUCCAGAUCUAGCCUUAUGGAUAUUCAGAAACCAUCAACCAAAGAUAUUCUGGAGUUUCUGCAAUCCGGCUUAGAUAAAGGGUUGAGUUAUAAAAUUUUGAAAGUCCAUAUUUCAGCCCUCUCUGAUUUAACUAAUAAUAAAUGGGCCUUUUCUCUGACAUAGUCAGAUCCAUGACUGCAGUCUUAAAGAUCAAGCCUCCUUUCAAACCUAUUGCUCCACCAUGGGAUUUACCACUGGUUCUGAAAGCACUUAAAACACAUCCGUUCUAACCAUUGGAAUCUAUUUCUUAUCAUCUACUCACUAUUAAAACUGUUCUACUAAUAGCCUUAGCUUCUGCUCCCGACGGGUGUCAGAUCUUCACGCUCUAUCUGCUGAGGAACCUUUCACUAUUUUUCAUAGAGACAGAGUCAUUCUAAGAACAGUUCCUUAAUAAAUUAAGAAAUAGUGCUACCAACGUUACUUUCAGAAGAAUCAAACAAUAGAGAAGACGCUAAUUGGAACGCUAUUGACUCAGUGAGAUGCCUCAAGAUUUAUGUGCAAAGAUCUUCAGAAUGGCGAAUUUCUAAAAGGCUUUUUAUCAUUCCUAAUGAUUUUAGGAAAGGCCUUCAAGCUUCUAAAGGUUUGAAAGCACAUUCUACACGAUCUCCCUCUUCAUCCUGGGCAGCAGCAGCAAAAGUUUCUCCAGAACUAAUUUGCAAAGCAGCCACUUGGUUGUCUUCAAAUAGUUUUAUCAGACAUUAUCGUAUAGACGUAAAGGCUGG